ensembl:misc_RNA Metazoa_SRP Metazoan signal recognition particle RNA
GCCGGGCGUGGUGGCUCACGCCUGUAAUCCCAGCACUUUGGGAGGCCGAGGCGGGUGGAUCACCUGAGGUCAGGAGUUCGAGACCAGCCUGGCCAACAUGGUGAAACCCCAUCUCUA